rnacentral:rRNA from 1 species
AUUGAACGCUGGCGGCAUGCCUUACACAUGCAAGUCGAACGGUAACAGGUCUUCGGAUGCUGACGAGUGGCGAACGGGUGAGUAAUGCAUCGGAACGUGCCCAGUAGUGGGGGAUAGCCCGGCGAAAGCCGGAUUAAUACCGCAUACGACCUGAGGGUGAAAGGGGGGGAUCGCAAGACCUCUUGCUAUUGGAGCGGCCGAUGUCAGAUUAGCUAGUUGGUGGGGUAAAGGCCUACCAAGGCAACGAUCUGUAGUUGGUCUGAGAGGACGACCAGCCACACUGGGACUGAGACACGGCCCAGACUCCUACGGGAGGCAGCAGUGGGGAAUUUUGGACAAUGGGCGCAAGCCUGAUCCAGCAAUGCCGCGUGCAGGAAGAAGGCCUUCGGGUUGUAAACUGCUUUUGUCAGGGAAGAAAUCUUCUGGGUUAAUACCUCGGGAGGAUGACGGUACCCGAAGAAUAAGCACCGGCUAACUACGUGCCAGCCGCCGCCGUAAUAC